CGGCUUAGGGAAGAUGGCGGCAGCCGUGGUGCUGGCCGCCGGGUUGCGCGCGGCGCGCAAAGCCGUGGCGGCCACGGGGGCGCGCGGGGGGCAGGUCCGAGGAGCUGCAGGUGUGACUGAUGGGAAUGAAGUGGCCAAGUCCCAGCAGGCAACUCCUGGGGGAGCAGCCCCAACCAUCUUCUCCCGGAUCCUGGACAGGAGCCUCCCAGCUGACAUUCUCUAUGAGGACCAGCAGGCUCCUGUGCACUUCCUGGUCAUUCCUAAGAAGCCCAUUCCUCGGAUUAGCCAGGCUGAAGAAGAAGACCAGCAGCUUCUAGGACACCUACUCCUUGUGGCCAAGAAGACAGCAAAGGCUGAGGGCCUGGGAGAUGGAUACCGACUUGUGAUCAACGAUGGGAAGCUGGGUGCACAAUCUGUGUAUCAUCUGCACAUUCAUGUACUUGGGGGCCGGCAGCUCCAGUGGCCUCCAGGUUGAACCUGCCAACUGACUAAAGGACACCAGACUCUGGAUGCUUGGAUGGAAAGGGAAAAAUGAACCCUGUGAUGCUAAUAAAACUGUUCUCCCUUAA
rnacentral:sRNA from 1 species